UGCCAGCCGCCGCGGUAAGACAGAGGGUGCAAACGUUGUUCGGAAUUACUGGGCGUAAAGCGAGUGUAGGCGGUCUGCUAAGUCGGGUGUGAAAGCCCCGGGCUCAACCCGGGAAGUGCACUCGAAACUGGCAGGCUAGAGUACUGGAGAGGUUGGUGGAAUUCUCGGUGUAGAGGUGAAAUUCGUAGAUAUCGAGAGGAACACCGGUGGCGAAGGCGGCCAACUGGACAGAUACUGACGCUGAGACUCGAAAGCGUGGGGAGCAAACAGGAUUAGAUA
rnacentral:rRNA from 1 species